AGUGAACGCUGGCGGUAGGCCUAACACAUGCAAGUCGAACGGCAGCACAGUAAGAGCUUGCUCUUACGGGUGGCGAGUGGCGGACGGGUGAGGAAUACAUCGGAAUCUACUUUUUCGUGGGGGUUAACGUAGGGAAACUUACGCUAAUACCGCAUACGACCUACGGGUGAAAGCAGGGGAUCUUCGGACCUUGCGCGAUUGAAUGAGCCGAUGUCGGAUUAGCUAGUUGGCGGGGUAAAGGCCCACCAAGGCGACGAUCCGUAGCUGGUCUGAGAGGAUGAUCAGCCACACUAGAACUGAGACACGGUCCAGACUCCUACGGGAGGCAGCAGUGGGGAAUAUUAGACAAUGGGCGCAAGCCUGGUCCAGCCAUACCGCGUGGGUGAAGAAGGCCUUCGGGUUGUAAAGCCCUUUUGUGGGGAAAGAAAAGCAGCAGGUUAAUACCCCGCUGUUCUGACGGUACCCAAAGAAUAAGCACCGGCUAACUUCGUG
rnacentral:rRNA from 1 species